CCAGUGAAUUCAAAGGCAGAGGAACACAGGAAGAGUGCAGGUCUGAGCUGCUUAACAGGCUCAGAGACAUGUGUCUGUGUUUGACCCUCAGUGGGAGGAAGUGACAUAGGCUACUGGUGGAUGUCCAGUUUUACCAUAUUAUGCUGUUGGACUGGAUACUAUUAAGAAGACAGGCACAUUGCUGGGUGCCAGGGAAGAGCAGUGGUUCCAGAUGAGUCAGACUGCUGUUGUCACCUCCUCCCUGCUGGAAAGACAAGACUCAGCAGCUCCUUGGAGAUGUUCAGAACUUGGGGUGAAGGCAUAAAGAGCUGUUGGAGCUGUCUCACGAUGUUGCCAACUUCCACAGUCGCCUGGAGAAACCAACUCAGCUACAGGGUAAAAUCUGGGGGAAAUUCACCUGUCUGAUGCAAAGUUAAACUGCUGGCUUUAAUGUGACUGCAUGGGAACUUGGGUUUAUUAAUGAAUACAACAUACCCUCUUUGAUUUGAAAGCUUUCACCCUGUUGAAAAGAUUCAAAAGGCAUCGCUUCCUGCACCAGCGGCAUUCCUUUAUCCGUCUCAGUGGUUCACCCCUACCCAGCUGCUAUAUCUCAUUAACAAGCAUUUGACCACUGCAGCCGGCCUGGGAGUGUUGACACUUGAAAAGCCCAGGCAGGCGUGGGCAGGCCAUCAGCUAUGGCAACAGGAAACUGCCCCAGAGACAACACUGAGAAAACAGCAGCUGCAAAAGCCAAAGUCAGAACAGACAUAAAGGGCUGCCUAUAUCCACGUUGGUCUGGGGUAUCGGUGCCUGCCUAUGGGUCUGAAUCCACACAUCUAUUUACUGUAUUCAUGGGAUAGAAAGGUUGCUAUCAGCAUGUAUCAGAGUCAGGACUUUUUGACAACCCAGAAUAAUUUUUUUGACUUACGAUGUUCUUGGAUCCUUAGGUUUCUUAUUCUCCUAAUAACUUAAAAUCUUGUUUGUGUACAUAAGAAUAUUCACCAGAGACCUCAUACUUGAUACACACCUUUACUCCAGUGGAAGUCAUAUGCACAAUUAAAAAAAUGUAUAUACAUGAACACAUUCAUUUUUUUAAUCACGUUAUUUUUCAAGAAAAAGUCAACUUGUGAGACUGUCAUAUAAAUAUAUAAGACUAUUUUAAAAGCCUUUGGUUUAGGAAUCAAACUGUGAUGGUUUUGUAUAAAAUAUUUCAGAAUGAAAGCAUUGUUUCAAUUGUGUAACUAUGGCUCAUAAAAUUAAGUGGGAUAUCUCAUAUAAUCAUUGAUUAUAAUUUAAAUACCUAUUUUAAUAUUGUUUAUUGACUAUUCAUUUAAUUGUAGGCCUUUCAAUACCAUAAGUGUUGUUUCUACAUUCAUCAGAGGAGCUUAAAGUAUAGACUGUCUCAUGUCAUGUUUUGAGCAAGUAGUUUUCCAUAUCUUGUGCGUUCUUUUCAAGCUUAUAAAAGCAUUUUUAGUGGCUAGGUAAGCAAUAGUUCAAAAUCAAUGUUUUCAAUCCGUAAAGAAAAUAACCCUUUUAAAACAGGAAAAAGAGAUCACUCUAUAAUAGCAGAAAAAAGAAAGCUAAAUGAAAAAAGACACUAAUGCAGUGUGUUACAAGUGAAGUUAGUGGUCUGCCAUUCAAAGAGUGGUGAAUUAUUUUCCUGUCAUUGUCAGUACAAUAGGCAAUUAGUGAUUAUCACAUUGAAGUAUACCAUUACUUUAUUCAUCUGAGUAAUUAAGGUUUAUGUACAUUUACCUAUCACUCACCAUAAAAGCUCUUUUAAUUUCACAUUAUUACUCUAAAAUAGUUAGAUUUUUUUAAAGAUGUGAAUGUAUUUUAAAUUAUCAUAGCUUCUUUUUUUCGAGAUGUUAGAAUAUGCUUCUUGAGUGCAGUGAAUUUUCCAGUUCUACCUUCAUCCACCUUUUACCCUCCAGGGGAAGAGAAGACUGUACCAGCCGCAUCUUCCUGAAAGCCAUUAAGAUAUUUACAUUUGAUGUCAGUUUUUCUGACCUAGUCGUAGGGGGUCACAUUCAUUUCCGAUAGGCAGGAUGAUGCCCAGGCUCUGGAAACAGCUUGGGAGCAACUCUCAGUCCUGCUACCCACCAGCAAAGCGAACCUUGAGUGAGGGACUUAAAGUUUUCUGUGCCUCAGACUCCCAGUCUGUUAAAUAGUGGUAAGAUGAAUAGUACUUAAUUCAUAGGCUGGUAUAAGGAUUAGAUGGAUGUACACACACAUACACUUCAAAGAGUGCCUAUCUCAUACCAAGCAGUCUAUAACGGCUGCUAUUAUUAAUACCAACCUCUUUCCUCACCAUAUCAUACUUUACCCCUUUAUAGUGAUUUAUAUUUCCAUAGAACUUAUUCUGUUUUAUAUUGUUA